UCAAUCUCGUGCGGCUAGAAGCCGCCUGUCCCUCUAAGAAGAAUUGAUUGUACGCCGACAGUAAAAACCGCGCACGACCACGACGCGAACGCCGGGCCGGCGGGCCUUUGAGAUGUCGAAAAUACGCCUAGUUAGCAGGCUAGAGUCUCGUUCGUUAU
rnacentral:rRNA from 1 species